UACGUAGGGUGCGAGCGUUGUCCGGAAUUAUUGGGCGUAAAGAGCGUGUAGGCGGCUUGGUAGGUCCGCUGUGAAAACUCGAGGCUCAACCUCGAGAUGUCGGCGGAAACCACUUGGCUAGAGUCCGGAAGAGGAGAGUGGAAUUCCUGGUGUAGCGGUGAAAUGCGCAGAUAUCAGGAGGAACACCGAUGGCGAAGGCAGGUCUCUGGGCAUUACCUGACGCUGAGGAGCGAAAGUGUGGGGAGCGAACAGG
rnacentral:rRNA from 1 species